CGGGGUGAGUAAUGUCUGGGAAACUGCCUGAUGGAGGGGGAUAUCUACUGGAAACGGUAGCUAAUACCGCAUAACGUCGCAAGACCAAAGAGGGGGACCUUCGGGCCUCUUGCCAUCGGAUGUGCCCAGAUGGGAUUAGCUAGUAGGUGGGGUAACGGCUCACCUAGGCGACGAUCCCUAGCUGGUCUGAGAGGAUGACCAGCCACACUGGAACUGAGACACGGUCCAG
rnacentral:rRNA from 1 species